UGGGGAAUAUUGCGCAAUGGGCGAAAGCCUGACGCAGCGACGCCGCGUGGGGGAUGACGGCCUUCGGGUUGUAAACCUCUUUCAGCAGGGACGAAGCGAAAGUGACGGUACCUGCAGAAGAAGCACCGGCCAACUACGUGCCAGCAGCCGCGGUAAUACGUAGGGUGCAAGCGUUGUCCGGAAUUAUUGGGCGUAAAGAGCUCGUAGGCGGUCUGUCGCGUCGGCUGUGAAAACCCGGAGCUCAACUCCGGGCCUGCAGUCGAUACGGGCAAACUGGAGUGUUGCAGGGGAGACUGGAAUUCCUGGUGUAGCGGUGAAAUGCGCAGAUAUCAGGAGGAACACCGGUGGCGAAGGCGGGUCUCUGGGCAACAACUGACGCUGAGGAGCGAAAGCGUGGGGAGCGAAC
rnacentral:rRNA from 1 species